ACCCCAACACACUCUCCUUCUC
rnacentral:miRNA from 1 species